GUAAGGUUACAGGUUGGGCUCUACGUUGUGUAUCUUCUGGACUGGCUGACAGUUUUUGACAAAGAUCAGAUACUCGUUCUACGCUUGGAGGACCAUGCAUCAAAUGUGAAAUACACCAUGCACAUGGUGUUCCAGUUUCUGGACCUGGGACCUCUCAGUGAGAAACAAGAAGCUCUGAUUACAAAGAGUCCUGCAUCGAACACUAGACGACCUGAAGACAGAAGUCUGGGACCUAUGCUACCAACAACGAAGGCAAUUCUAAGAGAUUUCUAUAGGCCUUUUAAUACAAAACUGGCACAAGUUCUUUUUGAUGAUGCUUUUUUAUGGAAGAGGACAUAAUAUGUAAAUUUAGUGCCACAAAUACAGUGCUUAAAGGAGUUUUUAUUUUUUUAGAUUCUAUUUUUGUGCUUGGAUAUAUACAUUUUUCCCAUUCCAAAGAGAAGCCGAUUGAUGAACUGAGACUCACCUUCAGUCAGCACACUUCAUGACAAUUACACCACAUUUUCCUUGUGAGAAUGUAAAGCAUCUUGCUUACCAGUUUAUUGCAACUUCUUUCACCCCAGCAAAAGAGUAGAGUGGAAAAACAUUAGUACAAAGAUGAUGUCUUACACUCUCCAUGGGGAUGUUGAAGUUUAACCUUCUCUAAGAUGCUGCAACACAGAAUUAGCAUCAGUUUCCUACAGUUACGCUUAUAACCUCAUUUUCAAUAUAUGUUAUUCAUUCAUUUUUUCAAACUAUCAAUGUCAUUUAGUCAUUAAAAUUUUUAAUUGAAUUCAA